rnacentral:rRNA from 1 species
ACGCACGCUGGCGGCUUGCUUCACACAUGCAAGUCGCACGGAAAGGCCCUGCUUUUGUGGGGUGCUCGAGUGGCGAACGGGUGAGUAACACGUGAGUAACCUGCCCUUGACUUUGGGAUAACUUCAGGAAACUGGGGCUAAUACCGGAUAGGAGCUCCUGCUGCAUGGUGGGGGUUGGAAAGUUUCGGCGGUUGGGGAUGGACUCGCGGCUUAUCAGCUUGUUGGUGGGGUAGUGGCUUACCAAGGCUUUGACGGGUAGCCGGCCUGAGAGGGUGACCGGCCACAUUGGGACUGAGAUACGGCCCAGACUCCUACGGGAGGCAGCAGUGGGGAAUAUUGCACAAUGGGCGGAAGCCUGAUGCAGCAACGCCGCGUGCGGGAUGACGGCCUUCGGGUUGUAAACCGCUUUCGCCUGUGACGAAGCGUGAGUGACGGUAAUGGGUAAAGAAGCACCGGCUAACUACGUG